GUGAAAAUAUCUUCCCACGUCAUGACGCGAGAUUGCUGCGUGAUGAAUCAACUCGAUAGGGGAUAGCGGUAAGAAAAUUCGGAGAUAAAGCGGAAUGGUGCGUCUGAAUGGACUCGAACCAUCGACCCCCACCA
rnacentral:antisense_RNA from 1 species